rnacentral:rRNA from 1 species
AUUGAACGCUGGCGGCAUGCCUUACACAUGCAAGUCGAACGGUAACGGGCCUUCGGGUGCCGACGAGUGGCGCACGGGUGAGUAAUACAUCGGAACGUGCCCGAUCGUGGGGGAUAACGAGGCGAAAGCUUUGCUAAUACCGCAUACGAUCUACGGAUGGAAGCAGGGGACCGCAAGGCCUUGCGCGGACGGAGCGGCCGAUGGCAGAUUAGGUAGUUGGUGGGAUAAAAGCUUACCAAGCCGACGAUCUGUAGCUGGUCUGAGAGGAUGAUCAGCCACACUGGGACUGAGACACGGCCCAGACUCCUACGGGAGGCAGCAGUGGGGAAUUUUGGACAAUGGGCGCAAGCCUGAUCCAGCCAUGCCGCGUGCAGGAUGAAGGCCUUCGGGUUGUAAACUGCUUUUGUACGGGACGAAAAGCCUUCUUUUAAUACAGGAGGGUCAUGACGGUACCGUAAGAAUAAGCACCGGCUAACUACGUG